AUUGAACGCUGGCGGCAUGCCUAACACAUGCAAGUCGAACGAGUGGCGGACGGGUGAGUAAUGUCUGGGAAACUGCCUGAUGGAGGGGGAUAACUACUGGAAACGGUAGCUAAUACCGCAUACCAUCAGAUGUUCCCAGAUGGGAUUAGCUAGUUGGUGGGGUAACGGCUCACCAAGGCGACGAUCCCUAGCUGGUUUGAGAGGAGGACCAGCAACACUGGAACUGAGACACGGUCCAGACUCCUACGGGAGGCAGCAGUGGGGAAUAUUGCACAAUGGGCGAAAGCCUGAUGCAGCCAUCCCGCGUGUAUGAUGAAGGCCUUCGGGUUGUAAAGUACUUUCAGCGGGGAGGCGUUACCCACAGAAGAAGCACCGGCUAACUACGUGCCAGCAGCCGCGGUAAUUC
rnacentral:rRNA from 1 species